rnacentral:rRNA from 1 species
GUCGAGCGGCAGCGCGGGGGCAACCCUGGCGGCGAGCGGCGAACGGGUGAGUAAUGCAUCGGAACGUAUCCUGUAGUGGGGGACAACGCCGGGAAACCGGCGCUAAUACCGCAUAUGCUCUACGGAGGAAAGUGGGGGACCUGUGAGGGCCUCACGCUAGGGGAGCGGCCGAUGUCCGAUUAGCUGGUUGGUGGGGUAAAGGCUUACCAAGGCGACGAUCGGUAGCUGGUCUGAGAGGAUGAUCAGCCACACUGGGACUGAGACACGGCCCAGACUCCUACGGGAGGCAGCAGUGGGGAAUUUUGGACAAUGGGGGCAACCCUGAUCCAGCCAUGCCGCGUGCGGGAAGAAGGCCUUCGGGUUGUAAACCGCUUUUAGCUGGGAAGAAAAGGCACGGGCCAAUACCCCGUGUUCUUGACGGUACCGGCGGAAUAAGCACCGGCUAACUACGUGCCAGCAGCCGCGGUAAUACGUAGGGUGCGAGCGUUAAUCGGAAUUACUGGGCGUAAAGCGUGCGCAGGCGGUUCGUUGUGUUUGCGGUGAAAGCCCCGGGCUCAACCUGGGAAUGGCCGUGAAAACUGGCGAGCUGGAGUGUGGCAGAGGGGGGUGGAAUUCCAGGUGUAGCAGUGAAAUGCGUAGAGAUCUGGAGGAACACCGAUGGCGAAGGCAGCCCCCUGGGCUGACACUGACGCUCAGGCACGAAAGCGUGGGGAGCA